CCUACGGGAGGCUGCAGUGAGGAAUAUUGGUCAAUGGGCGAGAGCCUGAACCAGCCAAGUAGCGUGAAGGAUGAAUGCCCUAUGGGUUGUAAACUUCUUUUAUAUGGGAAUAAAACGUUCCACUUGUGGGAGUUUGUAUGUACCGUAUGAAUAAGGAUCGGCUAACUCCGUGCCAGCAGCCGCGGUAAUACGGAGGAUCCGAGCGUUAUCCGGAUUUAUUGGGUUUAAAGGGGGCGUAGGUGGGGUGUUAAGUUCGUCGGGAAAGUGGGCGGCUCAACCGGACAAUUGCAGUUGAAACUGGCAGUCUUGAGUACAGUAGAGGUAGGCGGAAUUCGUGGUGUAGCGGUGAAAUGCUUAGAUAUCACGAAGAACUCCGAUUGCGAAGGCAG
rnacentral:rRNA from 1 species